rnacentral:lncRNA from 1 species
AAAAGAGCCAUUUUUACUGUUUAUUGAUGUUGACCAAGUUUAUCCGUUGGACUACACGUGUGAUGUGUAUUGCGUAAUGUUGACUGUAUUGCUGUUGUGUUUCAUUCCGCCGUAACCUAUAUUUGACUCUUUUUAAAAACGUAAUUAUAUUUACUGUGUUUUGGUGAUAACUGUAUCGCCAUGGUUUUGCAGAUUUCCAAGAAGACCUAUUUUAAAGAAAAGAUGAUAAAUUUAUUGUGUACGAGAACAUUUUAUUUUUAACUAUGUUGAUUUUAUGAAUCCAGAUA